AAGUCGGCCGCAGCGAACCUGCAGGCGGUCUAACUUGGUCUCCGGCCUUUGACCACGGAUGUACUGGCAUUGGCCGUCGAGGCGCAAGGAAAGGCCGGGUUCUUCCCGGCCUUUUUAGUU
rnacentral:sRNA from 1 species